GACGAACGCUGGCGGCGUGCUUAACACAUGCAAGUCGAACGGUGAAGCUCCAAGCUUGCUUGGGGUGGAUCAGUGGCGAACGGGUGAGUAACACGUGAGCAACCUGCCCCGGACUCUGGAAUAAGCGCUGGAAACGGCGUCUAAUACUGGAUAUGACAUCAAGCCGCAUGGUUAUGGUGUGGAAAGUUUUUCGGUCCGGGAUGGGCUCGCGGCCUAUCAGCUUGUUGGUGAGGUAAUGGCUCACCAAGGCGACGACGGGUAGCCGGCCUGAGAGGGCGACCGGCCACACUGGGACUGAGACACGGCCCAG
rnacentral:rRNA from 1 species